CACAAACAUAUGAAGGCGGGGGUGCUGGCAACAGUACUCCUGCUGAAUUAUUUUCACCCAUGUCUUUUUGCGGACUUUUUGUUUCCUGGGCGAGUUUCGCUCGCCACCAGGACCCCCCACAUAAAACCUUUCUUGUUUUUUGCAAUCAGCGUCAGUACAAUAAUUGAAUUUAUCA
rnacentral:misc_RNA from 1 species